rnacentral:rRNA from 1 species
AAAUAAAGUAGGGAAGCAUGUGAGCCAUGUGCCAAGAAAAGCCGCUAUAGAUCAUACCGUACCCGUACCGUAAACCGACACAGGUAGAUGAGGAGAGAAUCCUAAGGCCGACGGGAGAAGCAUUGUUAAGGAACUCGGCAAAAUGACCCCGUAACUUCGGGAGAAGGGGUGCCCACGCGAGUGGGCCGCAGAGAAUAGGCUCAAGCAACUGUUUAGCAAAAACACAGGUCUAUGCGAAACCGAAAGGUGAGGUAUAUGGGCUGACGCCUGCCCGGUGCUGGAAGGUUAAGAGGAGGAGUCAGGCAACGAAGCUCCGAAUUUAAGCCCCAGUAAACGGCGGUCGUAACAAUAACGGUCCUAAGGUAGCGAAAUUCCUUGUCGGGUAAGUUCCGACCCGCACGAAAGGCGUAAUGAUUUGAGCACUGUCUCGACAAUGCACCCGGUGAAAUUGAAGUACCAGUGAAGAUGCUGGUUACCUGCGCCAGGACGGAAAGACCCCAUGGAGCUUUACUCCAGUUUGAUACUGGGAUUCGAUACUGAAUGUACAGGAUAGGUGGGAGGCUGAGAAGCGUGGACGCCAGUCUGCGGUGAGCCGCUGUUGGGAUACCACCCUUUGAGUAUUGGAUUUCUAACCUGCGCCCGUGACCCGGGCGGGGGACAAUGUCUGACGGGGAGUUUGACUGGGGCGGUCGCCUCCGAAAGGGUAUCGGAGGCGCUCAAAGGUUCCCUCAGAAUGGUUGGAAACCAUUCGCAGAGUGCAAAGGCAGAAGGGAGCUUGACUGUGACACCGACGGGUGGAGCAGGUACGAAAGUAGGACUUAGUGAUCCGGUGGUAUGAAAGUGGGAUUGCCAUCGCUCAACGGAUAAAAGCUACCCUGGGAUAACAGGCUUAUCACUCCCAAGAGUUCACAUCGACGGAGUGGUUUGGCACCUCGAUGUCGGCUCAUCGCAUCCUGGGGCUGUAGCAGGUCCCAAGGGUUGGGCUGUUCGCCCAUUAAAGCGGUACGCGAGCUGGGUUCAGAACGUCGUGAGACAGUUCGGUCCCUAUCCGGCGCAGGCGUAGGAUAUUUGAGAGGAGCUGUCCUUAGUACGAGAGGACCGGGAUGGACAGACCGCUGGUGUAUCUGUUGGUGACCAACACCAUGGCAGAGUAGCCAAGUCUGGCAGGGAUAAACGCUGAAGGCAUCUAAGCGUGAAGCCCCCCUCAAGAUGAGAUAUCCCAAUAAGUAAGACCCCUUAGAGAGUAUGAGGUAGAUAGGCUUAAGGUGUAAGCAUAGUAAUAUGUUCAGCUGAUAAGUACUAAUAGGUCGAGGGCUUACCAA